UUGUUUACUUAAUUUGGAGGGACCUGCGAGCGAGAGAGAGAGGAGAGCGCGAGAGCGAGAGAGAGGCGAGGGCACGAUAGAGGGCGAGAGUGAGCUGUGCUAUGCGAGAAACAGAGAGAGUGCGAGAGGUGCGAGAGAGAGAGGGUUAGUAGGGUUUGCUUUUGCACAUAAAAAAUGGGAGUGGGCUUAUAACUCACUGUAGUAGAGAUUAAAUAUCAGCCGUUGGAUCUUUAUAGUGUAGGAUAUACUCCCACCCAAGGGUGUUCAGGUAGACUUUCUCCUAUCGAGCUAUGCUAUUGGGACAACCCCAUGUGGGUAGUACAUCCUACAACUUUUAGAUAUAAAGGUUGAAAUUAAUUUGAUUUAGAAAAAAGAUAAAAAGUGUUAAGUUCACUCCCCUUUUUUGUCCCUCACACUUUCUCUCUUUGUUUUUUGUCCCUCACAGUUUCCCUCUUUGUUGCUUUUGUGGCCUGAGAGCGAGAGAGAGAAAGCCCUGCAAGCGAGAGAGAGAAAGGAGAGCGCGAGCGAGAGAAAGGCGAGGGCGCGAGAGAGAGCGAGAGCGAGGCGUGCUGUGCGAGAAACAGAGAGAGAGCGAGAGACAAAGAAAGAGAGCACGAAGCCGGAUUCUACCAAGAAACUGGAUUCGACUAGCUCCCUCAUCUUUUCUCCGACUCUAUUUUCUCUCUCUUUCUCUUCUUCCAUCCUUUUCCUAUUUUUCGAUGACCUCAUGUUGUGCGGCCAUCCUAACGGUCUUUUCUAUCAUUUUCGGCUGGAAUUGUAAAGCUACGAUGCUUAGCCCUAUCCGUGCGUACGCCCCUAAACGAAACCAGCAGGGAGUAAAUAGUAUUUUUUUCCUGUAAUUUGAACGUAUUUUGUCAUUUGAGCUAAUUAAGAAGUCAUUUGAGCUAAUUAAGAAGUCAUUACUUCAUUUGAACUCAUUGUUUACAUAAUUUGGAUGGACCUGCGAGCGAGAGAGAGAGGAAAGAACGAGAGCGAGAGAGAGGCGAGGGUACGAUAGAGAGCGAGAGCGAGUUGUGCUGUGCGAGAAACAUAGAGAGUGCGAGAGGUGUGAGAAAGAGAGGGUUAGUAGGGUUUGCAUUUGCACAUAAAAAAUAGAAGUGAGCUUAUAACCCACCAUAGUAGAGAUUAAAUAUCAGCCGUUGGAUCUUUAUGGUGUAGGAUAUACUCCCACCCAUGGGUGUCCUAGUAGACUUUCUCCUAUCGAGCUAUGCUACUGGUACAACCCCAUGUGGAUUGUACAUCCGACAACUUUUAGAUCUAAAGGCUGAAAUUAAUUUGAUUUUAAAAAAAAGACAAAAAGUGUUAAGUUCACUCCCUUUUUUUGUCUCUCAUACUUUCCCUCUUUGUUUUUUGUCCCUUACACUUUCCUUCUUUAUUUUUUGUCCCUUACGCUUUCGCUCUUUGUUGCUUCUGUAGCCUGCGAGCGAGAGAAAGAGAGGAGAGCGUGAGCGAAAGAGAGGCGAGGGCGCAUGAGAGAGGGAGAGUGAGCUGUGUUGUGCGAGAAACAGAGAGAGAGGGAGAGACAGAGAAAGAGAGCACGAAGCCGGAUUCUACCAAGAAACUGGAUUUUACUAGUACCCUCCUCUUUUCCUUAUUUCUACUUUAUCUCUCCUUCUUUUCUUCCAUUAUUCUCCUAUUUUUCGGUGAAUUCAUGUCGUGCGGCCAUCCUAAUGGUCUCUUCCUCCAUUUUCAGCUGGAGUUGUAAAGCUGCGAUGCUUAGCCCUAUUCGCGCGUUCUCCCCACACAAAGCCAGAAAUGAGUAAAUUAUAAUUUUUUUCCUUUAAUUUGAACGCAUUUUCUCAUUUAAACUAAUUAAGAAGUCAUUGCUUCAUUUGAACUCAUUGUUCACUUAAUUUGGAAGGACCUGCGAGCGAGAGAGAGAGGUGGGCGUGAGAGUGAGAGACAGUCGAGGGCGCGAUAGAUAGCGAGAGCGAGCUUUGCUGUGGGAGAAACAAAGAGAGUGCGAGAGGUGCAAGAGAGAGAGGGUUAGUAGGGUUUGCUUUUGCACAUAAAAAAUGAGAGUGAGCUUAUAACCCACUGUAGUAGAGAUUAAAUAUCAGCCGUUGGAUCUUUAUGGUGUAGGAUAUACUCCCACCUAAGGGUGUUCUGGUAGACUUUCUCCUAUCGAGCUAUGCUACUGGUACAACCCCAUGUGGGUUGUACAUCCGACAACUUUUAGAUCUAAAGGCUAAAAUUAAUUUGAUUUAGAAAAAAAGAUAAAAAGUGUUAAGUUCACUCCCCUUUUUUGUCUCUAAUUGUUUCCCUUUUUGUUUUUUGUCCCUCACACGUUCCCUCUUUGUUUUUUGUCCUUCACGCUGUCGCUCUGUGAUGCUUCUGUAGCCUGCAAGCGAGAGAGAGAGAGAAAAGAGCGCAAGCGAGAGAGAUGCGAGGGGGCGAGAGAGAGCGAGAGCGAGCUGUGCUGUGCGAGAAACAGAGAGAGAGCGAAUACAGAGAAAGAGAGCACGAAGCCGGAUUCUAACAAGAAACUGGAUUCUACCAGCUCCCUCCUCUUUUCUCUGUCUCUACUGUCUCUCUCCUUCUCUUCUUCCAUCAUUCUCUCAUUUUUCGGCGAACUCAUAUCGUGCGGCCAUCCUGACGGUCUCUUCCUUCAUUUUUGGCUGGAGUUGUAAAGCUGCGAUACUUAGCCCAACCCGCGUGUACGCCCCACACGAAACCAGCCGUGAGUAAAUUGUAAUUUUUUUCUCUAAUUUGAACGCAUUUUGUCAUUUGAGCUAAUUAAAAAGUCAUUGCUUCAUUUGAACUCAUUGAUUCACUUAAUUUGGAGGGACCUGCGAGCGAGAAAGAGAGAGGAGAGCGCGAGAGCGAGAGAAAGGCGAGGGCGCGAUAGAGGGCGAGAGCGAGCUGUGCUGUGUGAGAAACAGAGAGAGUGUGAGAGGUGCGAGAGAGAGAGGGUUAGUAGGGUUUGCUUUUGCCCAUAAAAAAUGGGUGUGGGCUUAUAACCAACUUUAGCAUAGAUUAAAUAUCAGCCGUUGGAUCUUUAUGGUGUAGGAUAUACUCCCACCCAUAGGUGUCCUGGUAGACUUUCUCCUAUCGAGCUAUGCUACUGGUACAGCCCGAUUGGGUUGUACAUUCACAACUUUUAGAUCUAAAGGCUGAAAUUAAUUUGAUUUAGAAAAAAAGAUAAAAAGUGUUAAGUUCAUUCCCCUUUUUUGUCUCUCACACUUUCCCUCUUUGUUUUUUAUACCUCACACUUUCCCUCUUUGUUUUUUGUUUUUUACACUUUCGCUCUUUGUUGCUUCUGUGGCCUGCUAGUGAGAGAAAGAGAGGACAGCUCGAGCGAGAGAGAGGCGAGGGCGCAUGAGAAAGCGAGAGUGAGCUGUGCUGUGCGUGAAAUAGAGAGAGAGGGAGAGACAGAGAAAGCGAGCACGAAGCCGGAUUCUACCAAGAAACUGGAUUCUUCCAGCACCCUCAUCUUUUCCUCGUUUCUACUUUCUCUCUCCUUCUUUUCUUCCAUCAUUCUCCAAUUUUUCGACGAACUCAUGUCGUGCGGCCAUCCUAACGGUCUCUUCCUCCACUUUCGGCUGGAGUUGUAAAUCUGCGAUGCUCAGCCCUAUUCGCGCGUUCUCCCUACACGAAGCGAGAAGUGAGUAAAUUGUAAUUUUUUUCCUUUAAUUUGAAUGCAUUUUCUCAUUUAAGCUAAUUAAGAAGUCAUUGCUUCAUUUGAACUCAUUGUUCACUUAAUUUAGAAGGACCUGUGCGUGAGAGAGAGAGGAGGGCGUGAGAGCGAGAGAGAGGCGAAGGCGCGAUAGAGAGCGAGAGCGAGCUUUGCUGUCGGAGAAACAGAGAGAGUGCGAGAGGUGCGAGAGAGAGAGGGUUAGUAGGGUUUGCUUUUGCACAUAAAAAAUGGGAGUGGGCUUAUAACCCACUUUAGUAGAGAUUAAAUAUCAGCCGUUGGAUCUUUAUGGUGUAGGAUAUACUCCCACCCAUAGGUGUCCUAGUAGACUUUCUCCUAUCGAG
rnacentral:lncRNA from 1 species